rnacentral:rRNA from 1 species
AGGACGAACGCUGGCGGCGUGCUUAACACAUGCAAGUCGAGCGGAAAGGCCCUUCGGGGUACUCGAGCGGCGAACGGGUGAGUAACACGUGAGUAAUCUGCCUUCAGCUCUGGGAUAGCUCCGGGAAACCGGGAUUAAUACCGGAUAUGACCACUUCGGACAUCUGUUGUGGUGGAAAGUUUUUCGGCUGGAGAUGAGCUCGCGGCCUAUCAGCUUGUUGGUGGGGUAACGGCCUACCAAGGCGACGACGGGUAGCCGGCCUGAGAGGGCGACCGGCCACACUGGGACUGAGACACGGCCCAGACUCCUACGGGAGGCAGCAGUGGGGAAUAUUGCGCAAUGGGCGGAAGCCUGACGCAGCGACGCCGCGUGGGGGAUGAAGGCCGUUCGGUUGUAAACCCCUUUCAGCAGGGACGAAGCGGAAGUGACGGUACCUGCAGAAGAAGCGCCGGCUAACUACGUGCCAGCACGCCGC